AGGUGAACCUGCGGAAGGAUCAUUACCUUUCAAUGCAGAAGAGUUGAGAUGGUUGAGUAUCUCGCCUCUCAAUUCUCGCUGUAUUUUACCCUUGUUUUUCUCAUACUAUUAUUUCCUCGGCAGGCUCGCCUGCCGGGUGAAACAACUUCAAACCUGUUUAAUUUUCAAUCAGCGUCUGAACAAAUUAAUAAUUACAACUUUCAACAACGGAUCUCUUGGUUCUGG
rnacentral:misc_RNA from 1 species